GGCAACAAUCCCAUUCUUCUCCUUGUCGCGGUUCAGUAUACUUCACAUUGAUGUGGACGCGGAAGAACCAGGAACGUCGGA
ensembl:miRNA gmo-mir-11194 gmo-mir-11194